UUGCUAUGGGAAACGAAGCUACAACACGACACGACACCACCUAAAAGACACAACACGACUUCUCUCAAGCUGCAGUUUUGACUGUUUUCAGGAGUGAGAGAAUAACCCCCUGCUACAGAAACUAUAACACAAGAUUCCUAAAUUUCUGAAGGGAGCUGAUCACAGAGAUGCAGAAAAGACAGGAGGUCAAAGUUUAACCUUAGUGCCGUGUAGCUGAUGAACAUCUUUAUAUUCCCUUUAUUAAUCUGGGGUAACCACAGCGGAAUGAACUGUCAAC